rnacentral:rRNA from 1 species
AGCGGAACACUUGGAGCUUGCUCCAAGCGUUUAGCGGCGGACGGGUGAGUAACACGUGGGCAACCUGCCCUGCAGAUCGGGAUAACUCCGGGAAACCGGUGCUAAUACCGAAUAGUUUGCGGCCUCUCCUGAGGCUGCACGGAAAGACGGUUUCGGCUGUCACUGCAGGAUGGGCCCGCGGCGCAUUAGCUAGUUGGUGGGGUAAUGGCCUACCAAGGCGACGAUGCGUAGCCGACCUGAGAGGGUGAUCGGCCACACUGGGACUGAGACACGGCCCAGACUCCUACGGGAGGCAGCAGUAGGGAAUCUUCCGCAAUGGACGAAAGUCUGACGGAGCAACGCCGCGUGAGUGACGAAGGUUUUCGGAUCGUAAAACUCUGUUGUGAGGGAAGAACAAGUGCCAACUAACUACUGGCACCUUGACGGUACCUCACCAGAAAGCCACGGCUAACUACGUGCCAGCAGCCGCGGUAAUACGUAGGUGGCAAGCGUUGUCCGGAAUUAUUGGGCGUAGAGCGCGCGCAGGCGGUCCUUUAAGUCUGAUG